UUGGUCUGUUCGACCUUUUUAGCCUCCAUGAGUUGAGUUAAGACCGGCGUAAGCCAGGUCGGUUCUUAUCUAUUGUAGAAGUUUAUCAGUACGAAAGGACAGUAGACUUUUUUGUU
rnacentral:rRNA from 1 species